rnacentral:rRNA from 1 species
CUCUUAGAUGUUCUGGGCCGCACGCGCGCUACACUGAUGCAUUCAACGAGUCUAAAACCUGCUCUGAUAGGGGUGGGUAAUCUUUUGAAUGUGCAUCGUGAUUGGGAUAGAUGAUUGCAAUUUUUCAUCUUCAACGAGGAAUGCCUAGUAAACGCAAGUCAUCAACUUGCAUUGAUUACGUUCCUGCCCUUUGUACACACCGCCCGUCGCUCCUACCGAUUGAAUGAUCCGAUGAAUAUCAUGGAUUGAGGAUGCAAGUAGGUUAGCCUAUCUUCAUCUUCGAGAAGUGAAGUAAAUCUUAUCAUUUAGAGGAAGGAGAAGUCGUAACA